rnacentral:rRNA from 1 species
CUACGGGAGGCUCCAGUGAGGAAUAUUGCGCAAUGGGCGAAAGCCUGACGCAGCGAUGUCGCGUGAGUGAAGAAACCCUUAGGGGUGUAAAGCUCUUUUUUAUGGGACGAAUGCCCGUUUCGGCGGGAGCGACGGUACCAUGAGAAUAAGCACCGGCUAACUCCGUGCCAGCAGCCGCGGUAAUACGGAGGGUGCAAGCGUUGUCCGGAUUUACUGGGCGUAAAGGGCGUGUAGGCGGGAUGAUCAGUCGGAGGUGAAAUUUGCACAGCUCAACUGGCAAAGUGCCUUCGAUACUGUCAUCCUUGAGUGAAGGAGGGGGUAGUGGAAUUCCCGGUGUAGCGGUGGAAUGCGCAGAUAUCGGGAGGAACACCGGUGGCGAAGGCGGCUACCUGGCCUUACACUGACGCUGAUGCGCGAAAGCGUGGGGAGCAAACAGGAUUAGAUACCCCCGUAGUC